AUUUUGUAUCCUAUCUUUCCCUCUUUUAAAAAUUAAUUUUUGGCCUUUUCUUUGCAGAAGAGACAUAAGCUUGAAUCACACUAUUAGAUCCUUCUAUAGCGAUCUUAUUUCUUUACUGGUAAAUCUUUCCAUAUGAAGAAUUCCAUCACAUAUUGGUGCCACCUUCUGCUGAUUUGAGUGGGCAUUGGAAUCAUUGUAGGCUUAAUCCAGCGGCAUGUAAUACAAACCAGACAAAUAUCUUGCAAGGGUUACGGAAAGAUAUGCUUGCAGCUUUGAGUUUAUUUUUUAAAUACUCAAAAAGAGGAGGGAUGUUCAUAAACUCAUGUUUUGCGCAUUGCCAAAGUGAGUCACAAGAUACAUGGCUGACAUCAGACUCCCCUAGAGUGCAU